CAUCACCUCCAUGUCUGGGAAAAGAUAUUAACAGUCCCUCUUGUGGCUGUUAGAUUCCAGAACCUGAGUCUUUCAUGGCCUUGGAUAGAGCACUGGACUGGGAUGCAGGACACCUUGGUUCUAUUGCCGGCUCUGCAUCUGGAUGACCUGGCAUUCAGCUCUCCCACGGUCCAUCUCAUUGCAAGGAGAAACUGGAGGGCACAGUGUUCGUGUCUGUUUCCAGUAUCCGUGUGCUGCUUUUGCCAAAGGGACGAUUUUAACAAAGCCCCUUUCUAUACUCAAGGCACGCUGCGAUUUUCACGCUGAUGCUAGAAAAGAGGGGAAAAAACCAAAGGGAACCAAACGGCUGUGGACUGAGUGUAGCUGCAUUAGUCAAAACGGAGCUUGCAGGAGCUUUCAAUAUACACCUGCAUGAGGAUUCGUCUUCUGUUCCAAUCGCUCUCGGCCGAAAGCAUUAAAUCAUGCGAAAUGAAAAACGUGCAGCAGGCUGAAAUUACAAACUUGGUCUAUUUUUUUGUUUAAAAUGAGAAAUCAUAUGUCAUGUCACUUAGAGUGAAAGCUAACUUAAUAUAUUCCCUUAAAAGCCAAGGAGUAUAAUUUGGCUGUCAUAAAAACCCACAGAUUAUAAAACGUGUUUUGUGAUGUA